rnacentral:rRNA from 1 species
UAGGGAAUCUUCCACAAUGGACGCAAGUCUGAUGGAGCAACGCCGCGUGAGUGAAGAAGGUCUUCGGAUCGUAAAGCUCUGUUGUUGGUGAAGAAGGAUAGAGGCAGUAACUGGUCUUUAUUUGACGGUAAUCAACCAGAAAGUCACGGCUAACUACGUGCCAGCAGCCGCGGUAAUACGUAGGUGGCAAGCGUUGUCCGGAUUUAUUGGGCGUAAAGCGAGCGCAGGCGGAAUGAUAAGUCUGAUGUGAAAGCCCACGGCUCAACCGUGGAACUGCAUCGGAAACUGUCAUUCUUGAGUGCAGAAGAGGAGAGUGGAACUCCAUGUGUAGCGGUGGAAUGCGUAGAUAUAUGGAAGAACACCAGUGGCGAAGGCGGCUCUCUGGUCUGCAACUGACGCUGAGGCUCGAAAGCAUGGGUAGCGAACAGGAUUAGAUACCCUGGUAGUCCAUGCCGUAAACGAUGAGCUGCUGGAGUUGUC